AUUUAAACAACUCUUCAAAACAUUUAUAUAUCUUAGUAUAGGUGAUAGAACAGAUACAUUCUUAGGCACAAUAGAGAGAGUACCGUGAGGGAACGUUGAAAGAUCUUAUCCUGUAAGCAAUAAAAAGCAAAGAUUAAGCCUUCUACCUUUUGCAUAAUGAUUUAGCUAGUCUACCCGGACAAAAAGAAUUAAAGCCCGUCUUCCCGAAAUUAAGUGAGCUAUUGUAGAACAGUUAUUAGAACGAACUCGUCUAUGUAGCAAAAUAGUGAGAUGAUUUUACAAUAGAGGUGAAAAGCCUAUCGAACUUAAUGAUAGCUGGUUGUCCAAAAAGUGAAUUUUAGUUCAACUUUAAAUUUAACUUAAGUACUAAUAAACUGAAUUUAAAUUUAAAUGCUAUUCAAAAGGGGGACAACUCUUUUGAUAUGUAAACAAACUUGCUUAGUGGGUAAUGAUAUAUACAUAAUACAUUGUAGGCCUAAAAGCAGCCACCAAUUAAGAAAGCGUUAAAGCUCAAACUAGACUGUUAUUUAAUACCAAUCAUUUAUCAAAACCCCUAAUCCAAUAUUGGACAAUUCUAUUAAUAUUUAGAAGAUAUAAUGCUAAUAUGAGUAACAUGAAUUUAUUCUCCUUGCAUAAGCAUAAAUAUGACCGGAACAGCCGCUUACACUUAAUCAACCAGAUAACUAUACCCAUAUACAAGCAUCCUAUUACCCUUAUUGUUAACCCAACCCAGGCAUGCAUAAAAAGGAAAGAUUAAAAGGAAUAAAAGGAACUCGGCAAACAAAACCCCGCCUGUUUACCAAAAACAUCACCUCUAGCAUUAACCAGUAUUAGAGGCACUGCCUGCCCGGUGAGUUAUGACUUUAACGGCCGCGGUAUCCUGACCGUGCAAAGGUAGCAUAAUCACUUGUCUUUUAAUUGAAGACUAGUAUGAAUGGCAUGACGAGGGUUU
rnacentral:rRNA from 1 species